rnacentral:rRNA from 1 species
GAUUCUGGCUCAGAACGAACGCUGGCGGCAGGCUUAACACAUGCAAGUCGAACGCACCGCAAGGUGAGUGGCAGACGGGUGAGUAACGCGUGGGAACCUUCCCUUUGGUACGGAAUAACUUCGGGAAACCGAAGCUAAUACCGUAUAUCUCCUCCGGGAGAAAGAUUUUAUCGCCAAAGGAUGGGCCCGCGUUGGAUUAGCUAGUUGGUAGGGUAAUGGCCUACCAAGGCAACGAUCCAUAGCUGGUCUGAGAGGAUGAUCAGCCACACUGGGACUGAGACACGGCCCAGACUCCUACGGGAGGCAGCAGUGGGGAAUAUUGGACAAUGGGCGAAAGCCCUGAUCCAGCCAUGCCGCGUGAGUGAAGAAGGCCUUAGGGUUGUAAAGCUCUUUUAGCGGGGACGAUAAUGACGGUACCCGCAGAAUAAGCCCCGGCUAACUUCGUGCCAGCCGCCGC